UACGAAGGAUCCUAGCGUUAUCCGGAAUUAUUGGGUUUAAAGGGUCCGCAGGCGGGCUAUUAAGUCAGCGGUGAAAUUUCUCGGCUCAACCGGGAGCUUGCCGUUGAAACUGGUAGUCUAGAGUAGCUGUGAGGUGGUUGGAACGUGCAGCGUAGCGGUGAAAUGCAUAGAUAUUGCACAGAAUACCUAUUGCGAAAGCAGAUCACUAACAGUUGACUGACGCUCAUGGACGAAAGCGUGGAUAGCAAACAGG
rnacentral:rRNA from 1 species